GACGAACGCUGGCGGCGUGCUUAACACAUGCAAGUCGAACGGAAAGGCCCUGCUUUUGUGGGGUGCUCGAGUGGCGAACGGGUGAGUAACACGUGAGUAACCUGCCCUUGACUUUGGGAUAACUUCAGGAAACUGGGGCUAAUACCGGAUAGGAGCUCCUGCUGCAUGGUGGGGGUUGGAAAGUUUCGGCGGUUGGGGAUGGACUCGCGGCUUAUCAGCUUGUUGGUGGGGUAGUGGCUUACCAAGGCUUUGACGGGUAGCCGGCCUGAGAGGGUGACCGGCCGCAUUGGGACUGAGAUACGGCCCAGACUCCUACGGGAGGCAGCAGUGGGGAAUAUUGCCCACUGGGCGGAAGCCUGAUGCAGCAACGCCGCGUGCGGGAUGACGGCCUUCGGGUUGUAAACCGCUUUCGCCUGUGACGAAGCGUGAGUGACGGUAAUGGGUAAAGAAGCACCGGCUAACUACGUG
rnacentral:rRNA from 1 species